UCCGGUAUGGUCUAGUGGCUAGGAUACCUGGCUUUCACCCAGGAGGCUCGGGUUCCAUUCCCGGUACCGGAA
rnacentral:tRNA from 1 species